GCAGGCUCAAGUUCCCUGGAACGGGACGUCAGAGAGGGUGAGAGCCCCGUCGGUCUGUUUGUGCGGCUUUCCACGAGACGCUUUCGAGGAGUCGGGUUGUUUGGGACUGCAGCCCUAAGCAGGUGGUAAAUUCCAUCUAAGGCUAAAUAUUGGCGAGAGACCGAUAGCGAACAAGGACCGCGAGGGAAAGAUGAAAAGG
rnacentral:rRNA from 1 species